UUCUGCGGCAUCCCGGUGGAGGGUCGAGAAGACAAACACCGGCUGGACCACCCUUCCUCGGCGAUUGGUUCCGUCUUGUUUGCUCCUGCCGCCACUCCUACCGAGAGACGAGAGAGAUCCCUCGGCAUCGCGGGACGAGAUCUCGACGUAGUCGAUCGCGCACCCAGCCGUAAGCUAUGAUUUUGUCUUAUUUCCGUGUUAUACCCCGCGCAAGGUGAGAAAGUGCGACGGCCGACGCACCGCGAGUCGAAACAGGCAUGUCGACGGAUAGUAAGCGAAGCAAACGCUCCUCGUGGCACUCGAAGGUGGAAACAAAAACGUUUGUCUUUGUUCUCCAAAAGAGCGCGACCGAUAAUCUCAAUAUUUACACUAAUCUGGCACACAGAGAUGGUUCUCGAUGAAUUUUAUAUUGGGGGAAUCUAGGAGAGUUUACUAAGGUUUUAAAGCUCCUGCGGAACACUGGGUUGACGCCAGAAACGAGACAUGCAUCCGAAAAAUUCUUGCGUGCCAUUUUCAAAUAAAAAGAUACUUGUAUGUAAGAACACUUCAGAUCGCUUGAGCAUACUUGCAAAAUGCUUCGGAAACUAUCCUUUUCUCUUAACAGCCAAUAAACAGUCUUAAAAUUAACGUGGAAAGGUAGGUUAAAGAGGAAGGUUGCAUGUGUUAAUUUUAAGAUUAUUUAUUGACUGUCAACAAAAAAUAAUAGUUCUCGGAGUAUUUUAUAAGUAUUCUCAUACAAACAUGUUUUUAUUUGAAAAUAGCACAUAAGAAUUUUCGGCAUGCGCUUUUUCAUUUCUGACGUCAUUAAUCCAGAGUUCCACAGCAGUGGCCUUAACUCUUUCGCAUCAGAAGCUUUAACUCUAGAAGAGUCAAUUAGGGAAAAGUCUAAAGGAGUCACCCGGAAUAGUUGUCACAAAGCUUAUAUCUCACGUAAUAAAUGGUGUAUAUUCUUCUUUAUGGUAUAGAUUGCUUGUAUUGUGUUUGUUGGAUAUGCAAAAUGGCUUAUGACAAAAACAUGACAUACAGUAUUUACAAGAAUUUUUCAAAAUUGUGAAUUUUGUGAAUGAAUUUUUUCUUGUUUCCAUUUUUAUUCAUCCGUUAGCUUUGGAAUUCUUGGUCGCAAUUUCUCUUUAGUUGAAUGAAUAUUAUGUAAUUUAGUUGAAGAAAUGUUAUGGGUCUAACGCUAAUUUUUUCUGCAUUUAGUUAACAGUUACUACAAGAUAAUCGAUAAGUAUAAUCUCCUUUAUUCCAAAUGAUUAUUCGGGUUAAGUUGACCCAAAGUGAAAUUAGUGGUCCCACUAAUCAUUUAGUUUCACUUAGUUUUACUAUCCACUGGUAGUCGUUGUGGGUUUAUCACUGUGACGUUGUUUAUACAAGAGUAUGAAAGCAUACGCAAUGAUAUGUUGUACAUAUUAUAACAUUGAAUCCACAUAUAAGGUCCUACAGCUUAAAGUUAUUGUUAUAAAGUUUGUGAGAUUUACUAUCUUCUUUUAAUUCAAUAGUUGUUUAUUACAGCUAAUAAGAUAUCACUAAUUUUCAAGAUUCAAGAUAUCUAAGAUAUCAUAAAGCACUUAAAACAGAAACAAUUUGUCUUGCUUCUUUUGCAUGAAAGACAUGUGGCAACUAACUCUGGGGAUAUGGGAUGAAUAGGAACAUUUCCAUGACAUUGCUAUAACUUCUUUGUGUAUAAAUAUUGUUGCGUCCGCUCUUUUGGGAACGAGGAUCGAUUCGCUGGUUUUUCAACGUGAACGAAGUGUCGAGUUCUGGUGAGUCCUGAACAGCUGAAUACAUGUUUCCCGUGAUAACGAGUAAACGGGAGAAAACGGAGUCGUGCACGAGCCUCUGAGCCGAACUGACGUGUAGCAUAUCGGGGCGAUUUUGUGAGAUACGAUUAAUAGUACGAAAGUCUUGUAAAUAGCUUUCCAUUAAACACUUAAUUUUUUCAAUAAAUGUGUUUAUUUCUUUGCCCGAGCGCGAGUGAGCGCAAUAUUUUUGAGGCUCGUCCGGGACAGAAUCGAAAUCCCGAACGUGAUCCCGAAUGGUUUGGGAUCGAGCAGGAUUGAGCGAGAACGUGAGCGUGCUGGCGGAUUGAAAUUGAAAUCGCGAGUGAAGUAUUGCUACUGUGGGACAUGUCGACCAUGUAUACUCCAAAGAGGACGCGAGGACAGACCCUGAUGUUGAAGGAGCUGCACUCCUGCUCUCGGGCGACGGACGUCGAGAUGACCAGGGAGAAACGAAGGCUCCGAGGGUGACGCUGCAUACGGCGAUGGAGGAAGAAGCUGCGGGAUGUCGCGGAAGAAACAGUUCCGGCGACAGCAGUCUGAUACUGGAGGAGUUGUAGAGUCAACGGAACGACGAAACUAGGAAAGGCUUAACCAGGUUUGGUCGGAUAAUUAUGAGAAGACCGCCUUACUCAUGGUUUUUGACCGUGGUUUUUUCGUGGGACAUAGGGCGAAUGUUGGGGCGGGGACAAGGGAAAUUUCAGCAGAGAAUGUUGGGUCCACGAAUGUUACUCCUCCUCUUCUUGUCCGAAGAUUGGAGUCCGGGAGAUACAUGAAGUAGAGACAUUGGAGUUACAUCGACCUUCAAGAGGAUGGCUGUAAGAAAUCUGAAAAGAACGGUGCCUGGAGGGCAUAUACUGAAAGAAAAGUCUGUGUUCAGCAGCAGCUCAGGCUGGGGCAGGAAACCAUUUUAGUCUCCGAAAAGCAGCAUUGUGGAGGAAGAUCUCCAUUUCAAUUGCUUGUAACAAAAGCUCUUAUGGAAUAGUCUUUAAUCCCAGUGGCCUAGAUUGAGGAGUCAAAGUAUAAAAUAAAGAUGGCUUUUCGUUAUAUUUCCGCGUGUAUUAAAUAUAAAAUAUAAGAAAAGUUUUAUAUAAGUAGCUUAUUUUAUUUUUAGCUAUAUUAUACGUGAUCAAAGUUUCUAUCCUGUCAAACUUUAAUUACAAACAAAAAAGAGAUUCAGGCAGUGCUGUUAGAUAAGCUCUUUUCGUGAGCGCAUAUUAAAAAUAUCGGGAAGUAUAGAAAUAUAUAAUCGUGAACAGAAAGAUUGUUCGUAUUUUCGUAUAAAUUUUGAAAUGCAUCUAUUUUGUUCAAUAGAAGAAUUUAAGUACCGCUAAAGAAUAAAUAUAUUGAUUCUGAAUAGAUUCUUAUAAAUUCUUCAAAAAUUUGUAAAUAACUCUUUAGGAAUAUCCAUAUAGUAGCCACAAACACAAUACCUUUAAAUAAUUUAAUUAUAUACUCUAUUUACAUUCACGUUAUAUUCAGUACGCAUGCCCGAAAAAGGGACUCGUCUAAUGAUACUGGAUGAAAGUAUAAUUAAUCUUUGUAAUAAUUUUAAUAAAAUCAACAUUAUAAUGAAUUAAUACCGCAAAACUUGAAUUUAUUAAUUUUAACUUGCCUCUUGAUUGAAAAAGAUAACGUAUCUUUUUCUCAUGCAUCUUAAUGCUCAAAUAAUUAUAUCUUAUACAAA